rnacentral:rRNA from 1 species
UACGGAGGGGGCUAGCGUUGUUCGGAAUUACUGGGCGUAAAGCGCACGUAGGCGGCUUUGUAAGUUAGAGGUGAAAGCCCGGGGCUCAACCCCGGAAUUGCCUUUAAGACUGCAUCGCUAGAAUUGUGGAGAGGUAAGUGGAAUUCCGAGUGUAGAGGUGAAAUUCGUAGAUAUCUGGAGGAACACCGGUGGCGAAGGCGGCAUCCUGGACCAACACUGACGCUGAGGAGCGAAAGCCAGGGGAGCAAACGGG